rnacentral:rRNA from 1 species
CCUACGGGUGGCAGCAGUGGGGAAUAUUGGGCAAUGGGCGCAAGCCUGACCCAGCAACGCCGCGUGAAGGAAGAAGGCUUUCGGGUUGUAAACUUCUUUUGUCAGGGACGAAGCAAGUGACGGUACCUGACGAAUACGCCACGGCUAACUACGUGCCAGCAGCCGCGGUAAUACGUAGGUGGCAAGCGUUAUCCGGAUUUACUGGGUGUAAAGGGCGUGUAGGCGGGUCUGUAAGUCAGAUGUGAAAGCCACGGGCUCAACCUGUGACUUGCAUUUGAAACUGUAGUUCUUGAGUACUGGAGAGGCAGACGGAAUUCGUGGUGUAGCGGUGAAAUGCGUAGAUAUUAGGAGGAACACCCGUGGCGAAGGCGGUCUGCUGGACAGCAACUGACGCUGAGGCGCGAAAGCGUGGGGAGCAAACAGGAUUAGAUACCCGGGUAGUC